rnacentral:rRNA from 1 species
UACGUAGUGUGCGAGCGUUGUCCGGAAUUAUUGGGCGUAAAGAGCUUGUAGGCGGUUUGUCGCGUCUGCCGUGAAAUUUCGGGGCUCAACCCCGAACUUGCGGUGGGUACGGGCAGACUAGAGUGUGGUAGGGGAGACUGGAAUUCCUGGUGUAGCGGUGAAAUGCGCAGAUAUCAGGAGGAACACCGAUGGCGAAGGCAGGUCUCUGGGCCACUACUGACGCUGAGAAGCGAAAGCAUGGGGAGCGAACAGG